GAAGAUAUCAAUGUCGGCAAUUGUGAACAACUUAUUUGUUACUUCUUGCGAUCCAGCAGAGGUCACCUAGUGUAAGACAAUACCUACUCAAAUAGACAGUGAAGACAAAGGAUCCAUCCUCCACUCUCUCUUGCAUCUUCCAACUUUCGUCUUCUCAUUUCGCUGCUGUGUUGAUCAAUCCCUCUGUCUCCUCUUACAUGCAUGGUUCGAAUUAUUUUGCUCCUACUUAUGUCUACAU
rnacentral:lncRNA from 1 species